rnacentral:rRNA from 1 species
UACGGAGGGAGCUAGCGUUGUUCGGAAUUACUGGGCGUAAAGCGCACGUAGGCGGCUUUUUAAGUCAGGGGUGAAAUCCCGGGGCUCAACCCCGGAACUGCCCCUGAAACUGGAGAGCUAGAAUCUUGGAGAGGCGAGUGGAAUUCCGAGUGUAGAGGUGAAAUUCGUAGAUAUUCGGAAGAACACCAGUGGCGAAGGCGACUCGCUGGACAAGUAUUGACGCUGAGGUGCGAAAAGCGUGGGGGAGCAAACAGGG